rnacentral:rRNA from 1 species
AAAUUGAAGAGUUUGAUCAUGGCUCAGAUUGAACGCUGGCGGCAGGCCUAACACAUGCAAGUCGAGCGGUAGCACAGAGAGCUUGCGCUCGGGUGACGAGCGGCGGACGGGUGAGUAAUGUCUGGGAA